rnacentral:rRNA from 1 species
CAGUAGCCGCGGUAAUACAGAGGGUGCAAGCGUUAAUCGGAAUUACUGGGCGUAAAGCGCGCGUAGGUGGUUUGUUAAGUUGAAUGUGAAAUCCCCGGGCUCAACCUGGGAACUGCAUCCAAAACUGGCAAGCUAGAGUAGGGCAGAGGGUGGUGGAAUUUCCUGUGUAGCGGUGAAAUGCGUAGAUAUAGGAAGGAACACCAGUGGCGAAGGCGACCACCUGGGCUCAUACUGACACUGAGGUGCGAAAGCGUGGGGAGCAAACAGGAUUAGAUACCCGCGUAGUCCCUGUCUCUUAUAC